GACGAACCGUGCGAACGUUGUUCGGAAUCACUGGGCUUAAAGGGUGCGUAGGCGGGUUUUUAAGUCAGGGGUGAAAUCCUGGAGCUCAACUCCAGAACUGCCUUUGAUACUGAAGAUCUCGAGUCCGGGAGAGGUGAGUGGAACUGCGAGUGUAGAGGUGAAAUUCGUAGAUAUUCGCAAGAACACCAGUGGCGAAGGCGGCUCACUGGCCCGGUACUGACGCUGAGGCACGAAAGCGUGGGGAGCAAACAGG
rnacentral:rRNA from 1 species